rnacentral:rRNA from 1 species
AGCAGCCGCGGUAAUUCCAGCUCCAAUAGCGUAUAUUAAAGUUGUUGCAGUUAAAAAGCUCGUAGUUGAAUUUCGGGAUCAAAUUGUUGGUCGUGCCUCGGUACGCACUGGUAUUAUUGGUUCCUACCUUCUGAAGAACCGCGAUGUCAUUAAUUUGGUGUCGUGGGAAAUCAGGACUGUUACUUUGAAAAAUUAGAGUGUUUAAAGCAGGCUUACGCUUGAAUACAUUAGCAUGGAAUAAUGAAAUAGGACGUUUGAUUCUAUUUUGUUGGUUUCUAGGAUUGACGUAAUGAUUAAUAGGGAUAGUUGGGGGCAUUAGUAUUCAAUUGUCAGAGGUGAAAUUCUUGGAUUUAUUGAAGACUAACUACUGCGAAAGCAUUUGCCAAGGAUGUUUUCAUUAAUCAAGAACGAAAGUUAGGGGAUCGAAGACGAUCAGAUACCGUCGUAGUCUUAACCAUAAACUAUGCCGACUAGGGAUCGGAUGAUGUUAAUUUUUAAUGUACUCAUUCGGCGC